rnacentral:tRNA from 1 species
ACUUAAAUAGCUUAUUUUUAGAGCAUAACAUUGAAGAUGUUAAUGAGAUAUAAAAUCUUUAAGUA